rnacentral:pre_miRNA from 9 species
UCUCGAUAGCGUAAAAGUUAACUCAUAUUUGUAUGAAAUGGGCUCGUUUGCGUACGUUUGCCGCUAGGGGCGCUGUUCCAACUGCAUACAAAUAUGAGUUAACUUUUACGCUACCGA